rnacentral:rRNA from 1 species
AGUUUGAUCCUGGCUCAGAACGAACGCUGGCGGCAUGCCUAAUACAUGCAAGUCGAACGAAGGCUUCGGCCUUAGUGGCGCACGGGUGCGUAACGCGUGGGAAUCUACCCUUGGGUUCGGAAUAACAGUUAGAAAUGACUGCUAAUACCGGAUGAUGACGUAAGUCCAAAGAUUUAUCGCCCAAGGAUGAGCCCGCGUAAGAUUAGCUAGUUGGUGAGGUAAAGGCUCACCAAGGCUACGAUCUUUAGCUGGUCUGAGAGGAUGAUCAGCCACACUGGGACUGAGACACGGCCCAGACUCCUACGGGAGGCAGCAGUAGGGAAUAUUGGACAAUGGGCGAAAGCCUGAUCCAGCAAUGCCGCGUGAGUGAUGAAGGCCUUAGGGUUGUAAAGCUCUUCUACCCGAGAUGAUAAUGACAGUAUCGGGAGAAUAAGCUCCGGCUAACUCCGUG